GACGAACGCUGGCGGCGUGCCUAAUACAUGCAAGUAGAACGCUGAAGGAGGAGCUUGCUUCUCCGGAUGAGUUGCGAACGGGUGAGUAACGCGUAGGUAACCUGCCUGGCAGCGGGGGAUAACUAUUGGAAACGAUAGCUAAUACCGCAUAAGAGUAGAUGUUGCAUGACAUUUGCUUAAAAGGUGCAAUUGCAUCACUACCAGAUGGACCUGCGUUGUAUUAGCUAGUUGGUGAGGUAACGGCUCACCAAGGCGACGAUACAUAGCCGACCUGAGAGGGUGAUCGGCCACACUGGGACUGAGACACGGCCCAGACUCCUACGGGAGGCAGCAGUAGGGAAUCUUCGGCAAUGGACGGAAGUCUGACCGAGCAACGCCGCGUGAGUGAAGAAGGUUUUCGGAUCGUAAAGCUCUGUUGUAAGAGAAGAACGAGUGUGAGAGUGGAAAGUUCACACUGUGACGGUAUCUUACCAGAAAGGGACGGCUAACUACGUG
rnacentral:rRNA from 1 species